rnacentral:misc_RNA from 1 species
AAGUCGUAACAAGGUUUCCGUAGGUGAACCUGCGGAAGGAUCAUUAACAAAAUAAAUGUUAUAUUUAUUAUAUACGAGCAAUGCAGUCUCUAUGGACUGACAUAAUAACCAUCAUCUAUAGUAGUUUUACCAAAUAUAAUCAUUACAUACAACUUUUAACAAUGGAUCUCUUGGCUCUC